AGCAUUUUUAUUUUAUGCUCAAGUAGCAGAAGUAUUCUAAAUUACAUCUGAAAUUACAUUGGUACACAGAGUAAACAAUUUUGUUUAGAUCUCCCAGUUCAGGAGGCAUACCUUGUGUCAUUUGAUUAACAUUACAUUAUCAAACUCAGCAAUCCUAUACGCAACACCAUACAGUCAUCUAUGAGGUCCAGUUCAGCUGCAGUAUCCAGUGCUGUUUUUAAUAUAUCAUUUUAAUUCAAAUUACAUUAUAAUUAUUGUAAAUUAUGUUUUAUUAAAAUGUUUCCAUGCGAGCUAACAAAGGACAGGGUGAUAUAAUCAAAUUCUCAAACACAACCAAACAACGGACUGAGGAGGUUACCAAGAGGGGCCUAAUAUCAUGUCUAUGAAAAUAUAUUCAACAGAUACAUAGCUUAAGACACAUACUGUACAUAAAUACAUGUAUGUACAGUAGAUCUAUGUACAUAAAUAAUAUAUCACCAUGUGAAUAUCACAAAUUAUUAAAAUAUGACUUUUUUUUAAGACAGCUCAUUUACAGAUAUGAGAGUCUUGGUCAUAGUUUGGUCAAUUGCAAGCUCAUGAACAUAGUACCUGUUUUCAGAACUUAAUCGUCAUCAAACAUAGACCCUGUCGUAGAGACAAAUGAAUAGCAGCUCAAUACAAUAUCUGACCCCAUUGUAAGCGGUAACAUGGCCUAAUUAUGAGGUGCCAAUGGAGAUUUCUUUUUUACCUAAAUGUAUUGAAUGCUGCAUAGGGAUAUUUAUAAGAUAUUUACCAAAUAAUACAAUUGGGAGCCACUGAUGUGUAGGCUUGCUUGGUAGAUAUCUAGAUAACAGUCCCAUUUUAAUUCCAAGCUUUUCAGGGCAGACCUGUGUAAACCACUUAACCUUAUUCUGCCCUAGAAGGUGCUUUCCCCUCUAAUAGUAGAGGGAAAUGCUACAACAUAUGUAACAUCUGAAAAUCUGCCAUUUGCCUUCAAACAAAAAUGGAAAAAACAACAUUUACACUGUAAAGCUCUCAAUUAUUGCAUUAUAAAUAAUCUGACAUUUUAAAACCCUGUUUUCCUUUGACAUAACUACUCAU
ensembl:lncRNA